rnacentral:lncRNA from 1 species
AAUAACAAGAAAAUGCGGUAUAAUACCAUACGCUGGGGAGUAUCUAUGUUCCAUUACUAAUAUAUAAUGCAAAAUAUGUAAGUUGAGGAAAAAAACAGUGCCCAUAGGUUUAUCAACAGUGCCCCGAAGAUGUACAUCUAUAUACACUUCUAUGUGCAUUAAACAGAACCAGUCUAACCAAAAUACAAUGAAGAGUAUAUACACAGCAGCACAAGUGUAUUAGCAGAAUUUUUAUACGAAACAAGAAAAUAUACGAAUGAACAACAAGAAAUACGUAGCUGCCUUUAUCUGUAUGUGACAGUACUGAUAAUACAAUGAAGAAUUAGGAAAGAGUGGAGAAAGCCAGGAAAGAGAGAAAUUGCUGCCCUCCACUAGAAAACUACAAAGGGAGAGAUAAAUGACUCCCCUCUGAUAAAAAACUAAACCCUAUGAACACGAAGUGAACUUCCUCUCAGAAACUAAAUCUCAUGAGAAUACAAGUAAACUUCCCCUCAAAAACUACAAUGAAGAAAAAGCCCCAAACCACAAUGAAGAAAAAGCCCUAAACUGAAAGCCCUAAAAUGAAACCAGUAAUGCAUUAUUCCAGACCUUCGUUGUGCUAUGUAGAGAGAGAGAGAUGCCCUAAUGGUACAACCAGGGCAACUUUGAAAUGUGCUUCUUUGUGCCCUGUCUUUGUGCUCUGAGAAAGAGAUAGAGAUUUCUCAGCAUAGAGAGAGGGGUUUUAUUUCGCUAUCUCAGCAGAGAGAGAGGUUGCCUCGUUGUGCUUCGUUGUGCUCUGAGGAAGAGAUGGAGCGUUCUCAGUAGAGAGAGAGGGGGGUUAUAAUCUCCCUUGCUCAGUAGAGAGAGAGGGGGGGUCUAAUCUCCCUUGCUCAGUAGAGAGAGAGAGAUUGCCUCAGGUUUCAUUUACAGAGAGCAGAGCGCGAAUGAGAGAGGGUGAGAUGAGAGAGAGACAACCCUGAGUACUCACUGCCAACACCAUUCCAAAUUUUAAUAACGCUCUCUCGCUCAUCUAACCGUUCAAUUGCGACAUGCUCAUCGAGCUGUUCGGCG